UUCUGUCCUGUAUAAACAACUACUGAACCUAAAGAAGUUCCCCUACUCAUAGAAUCAAGGCUGAAGAUGCACAGCAGAGCAAGAGCAUCCCUUCAGCAAAGUGGAGGUAAAGGUAGCAGCUGGUAGCAGUCUUUAUUGACAGUCUUCAUGGAGUGUGGAUUUAUGGUCCUAAAACUAUAGCAGAUCACAGUUUGCUGCAGUUUCUUCCUGGUAACUUUAUUAAAGGAUUAAGAAAUCUAGAAGAUUAAAGAAGAAGAGCGUGGAAUUUCUCCAGCUCAAGCUGGGCACCACUAAGCUUAAAGCAGGAACUGGACUGAGAACUUCCCACAACAGACCACGGCCUCAGCUGGUCAGCACAGCCUGACUGGAAGGACCUUCUCAGCCCCAGUGCUGCAGCACUGAGUUUCAAAAGAUUCCUGCUACAGCACAUCAUUUUAGAAAAGGAUCUGAGACUGAAUGAUGUCUUUGCUGCUCUUUGGAACAGCAGGUGUCCAUUCCCUCCCUCUCACCACACCCACAGCUGGGAAUUGCUCAGGAUGUCUGUGACAAAGAAAGCUGGAGAAAACAAGAUUCAAGCGCUCAGGAUCAGGGUGUAAAUCAGACAACCAGCCGAUGGGAGUGGAACAGCACACAAAGGAAAACAAUCUUCAGAUCACUCAGUCUUACCCCAGCAGCAAUGAAGCCCUCUGACAGACAGAACAGUAUGGAGCUCUUGCCCUGGAAGACUGGCUGGUAUCCUCUGAGUCUCUGCAGCUCCUUGGUCUCAAGGAAAGGCAAUCCAGCAUCUUAGCCUCAGUAGAUGGAGAAGUAUGAAUCCAUCCCUCUGAAUCCAGUAAGUCUGUCUCAUCCAUGUCUCUGUCCUGGCAGUUAAGAUGAUUGCAGUAAAAGAUGUUGAGUUUUUAAAUGAUACUUUAACGCCCUGCUUUUUCAAAUCAAAGGACAAAAAGGUUUUGUUUUGUUUUGUUUGUUGUUGUUUUUUUUUUUAAUCUCUUAAGGUAUAAUAUUACUGAGGGAAGAUUUGCAUUCAGUAUCCAUAUUGGGUAUUCUGAGUGUAUUCUUUGUUUAUUACCUGUGUUCAGACAUUAGCAAUUCAUUGCUGUUAUUGUUAUACAAACCAGAAAACAACAACAUGUACCAGUCUCCACCUCAGGAAACAUACAAGCUAAAGAGAAUCAUCUGAAUAUGCUUUAGAAGUUCCUGCCAGACUUGCUGUUUACGGCCACUGCAGAUGUCCCCUAAUUCAGGUGAGCACUUGAACUAUAAAAGCAGAUUACAUCAACACAUGCUUCUUGAGUCGCUGCACAAUGGACAUCAUUGCACCAGCUUUUCAACCCUGAAUAGAAGGUAAGGAAAUGCUAGCGUCUGCUUCAGCAUUUCAGGCUACUAAUUAUACUGGGUGUUUACCAGGAUGGGAAAAUGCCAUGUUCCUCCAGUAAGCAAACUUCUGUACUUACCAUGCAAUACCAUGGCUUUGGUGGCAGGGAGGCCUGCAAACAAUCUGUUGCUUUCAUCCCAACUUGAAAAGUAGAGCAGCUACGUGUUUUUCUUAACAACAUGCACCCACUGUUACUUGGUAAGAGGACUGAAAUUUAACUAUGUUUCAUUGCUUUCACAUGUAAAACCUAAGUAGUACUAGCAGUACCCAAAAAAAUUUCUUUUAUCAAUGUCAGCAAAAGGGUACUCCAAAACAUAUUUCAAAGGAACCUUUAACAGCAAUUGAGUAUAGGGGCAGAUAACCAUAGGCAAAGAACAGAGCUGGAGCUCAAAAGAGCUCAAUCCAGUGACUCUUUGGAAACCAGAGAAACAACAUCUUCUCCCAGUUUCUCUUCCUGCAGAAUGUAAGAGUACCAAGCUUUACUUAUAUUAUAAAGCACUUUGCCUGAGGGCUAAGAAAGUUAUCUUAAUCUUCACUUGUAAGUAAAGCAUUUUUUCAGAAGCACACUUCAUCCAUCCUCUCUCACUUCCAUGCUACUGAAAAUCCCUUUAUUUUCAAAGGUUUUCCUACUGUUUUAACAUAGUCAGUGAUCUCAGUCUAGGAGAGAGCAUUAAAAUGAGCAACAGAAACACAGGCCUUCAUUUAGAGACAUAAUCUGUUUAAUAAAUAUGACUGUAAAAGCA
rnacentral:lncRNA from 1 species